AUUUGAAGGAGACAAUGUAUCCCAUAGAACAAUGGGAUAGGACAAACAGUACAUACAGUACAGGUCAAUAAAAACUUCCCGUUGCGUUGGCGUUGAACGUCGUUGAAACGUAGUAAACGUUCCGUUUUUUUGCCGUUGCACGUUCCGUUUUAUACUUCGUCCGUUUUGAACCUCCAAGAACGGUGCGCUCCAGCGUUUUAGCUUUACUUUACAUAGAAAUCACAUCAACUGCUCAGGAGACAUGAAGAAGAGGGGCACUAACCUUUUUUGUGAUCAGGACGAGUAUUUGGCAAGGCACAUGGUGUGACUAGCCCGAGCGGCGGCCUCACUGAUCAGUACAGAUCUUGGCUACUACAUGAUUUUAGAUUCAAGCGGGUCUCUUCUAACAAAGAAAAUGAUAAUGAUGUAUUUAUACUAUUGUUAUUUAUUAUUCAUUGAUAUUGAAUUUUAUGAUUAAUAAUAAUUAAGUUGCUACGCAACGACAAAACAAUAA